rnacentral:pre_miRNA from 1 species
AAGGGUGACCAACCAUCCAGGUUUGCCUGAGACUGAAGGUUUUCCCAGAAGUGAGACUUUUAGAACAAAAAGCUCAGGGAAAGUCCUAGGCAAACUAGAAUGGUUGGUCACCCUACAAAGGG